CUCGGAUCCGGGAGCCAAAUGCUUUGCUAGAGCUGGUAAAAUGGAACCAAAUCGACUGUCCAAUGGAUUUGGUCCCCUUCAACCAGCUGUAGCUGUGCAUUGAUGGCGCCAUGCGGCCCGGCU
ensembl:miRNA MIR133A2 microRNA 133a-2